rnacentral:lncRNA from 1 species
UGAUAAUGUUUCCUCAGCUCCAGAGUCACCUAGCACCAUUGUGCCUUCUUCAUCAACAUUUGUGAAAGGAGAACCCACUGUGGCUAUGGGGAAUUUGAAGACUUUCACACUCAAUUUCACCAUCUCCAACCUCCCAUACUCAACAGACAUGAGUAGUGGCUCAGCCAUGUUCAAUUCCACUGAAAGGAUACUGCAGCACCUGGU